GGUCCUUCUUCCAAUAUUACUGUUUCUUUAUUUUUUGACACAAUUCAGUCGGUUGAUCUGUGUAUUGUCCAAUGGUGGUAUUAUAGUUCUAUCAGGAGCUCAAGCAGCUCCCAAACUCUUACUAGCCAAGAGAAAGUUCUCAAGAGCAUGGUCUCAGUAUUAUUUCUUAAGAGGUCACAAGAGGAGAGUCCCCUCCUGUUGUAUCCUGUGACUAUAUAGCACUGCUUAUGAUACCAAUCACUUGUUAUCUGGUGGUCCUGAUUUCUCUGUUAGAUUGUGGGACCUCUUCAAAGGAAUAUUGUUCCACACUAUUGCAGUUCAUGGUGGUGUGGUCAGUAGCAUUGUAGCAUGUCCUCCUCAUAUUAAUCUCACCUAGACUCCUAGUAUCAUGCCUUCAUGCAUGGAACCUUGACAACUCACUGGACAAGUUAGUAUUAGAUUGGUACUAAUAA